rnacentral:rRNA from 1 species
CGGACGGGUGAGUAAUGUCUGGGAAACUGCCUGAUGGAGGGGGAUAACUACUGGAAACGGUAGCUAAUACCGCAUAACGUCGCAAGACCAAAGAGGGGGACCUCCGGGCCUCGCGCCAUCAGAUGAACCCAUAUGGGAUUAGCUUGUAGGUAAGGUAACGGCUUACCUAGGCGACGAUCCCUAGCUGGUCUGAGAGGAUGAUCAGCCACACUGGAACUGAGACACGGUCCAG